AUGACAAUGAACUAGCAGAGUCAAGUCCACAGCUUCACAAACUUAUCAUGACUAGCAGAAGCAACCAAUCGAGUCGCAUUUGAUACGGCCAAGGAAGCAAUUAAUCCUUCAUGAGCAGGAAGUGUCGUAGACUUGUUUUGGGUCAUGUUCCAAAGUUCCAAAGACUGAAGUAAAUGCCCAGAGUUGCAUAUCAGUCAUAGAAACCAUACCAGCAACAUAAUCAACAAAGAUUAUAGACAACAUUUUUAGGGUUAUCGCAAGAGUGGUCAACAAAUGAAGAUUCCUACUUGCCUGGUAACAGCCAAUGAUUAGCAAUGAAGGGUUUGUAGGAUGAAAAACACAGGAGUAGAAUUUGUUGCCUUUAGAACUCAACUCAUGAAUGCAUUCUCCCUUAUCCCCUGAUCCAACUGUCCAGAUUCUGACAAAGUCCUCACUCACAGAUGCUAUAUACUCGCCAGAAGGAUCCCAGCACAGAAAAUGAAUUGGUUUAACAUGUCCCUGU
rnacentral:misc_RNA from 1 species